UAAGGUUCUAGCUUAAUUAAAGUGUCUGGGUUGCAUUCAGAAGAUGCAGGGUAAUGUCCUGCGAAUCUUAGC
rnacentral:tRNA from 1 species